AGUGAACGCUGGCGGUAGGCCUAACACAUGCAAGUCGAACGGCAGCACAGUAAGAGCUUGCUCUUACGGGUGGCGAGUGGCGGACGGGUGAGGAAUACAUCGGAAUCUACUUUUUCGUGGGGGAUAACGUAGGGAAACUUACGCUAAUACCGCAUCCGACCUACGGGUGAAAGCAGGGGAUAUUCGCACCUUGCGCGAUUGAAUGAGCCGAUGUCGGAUUAGCUAGUUGGCGGGGUAAUGGCCCACCAAGGCGACGAUCCGUAGCUGGUCUGAGAGGAUGAUCAGCCACACUGGAACGGAGACACGGUCCAGACUCCUACGGGAGGCAGCAGUGGGGAAUAUUGGACAAUGGGCGCAAGCCUGAUCCAGCCAGACCGCGUGGGUGAAGAAGGCCUUCGGGUUGUAAAGCCCUUUUGUUGGGAAAGAAAAGCAGCAGGUUAAUACCCCGCUGUUCUGACGGUACCCAAAGAAUAAGCACCGGCUAACUUCGUG
rnacentral:rRNA from 1 species